GAAAUGGUGGCUUAUACAAUGGUGUUAUAGCUAGCUAAUCUUCUCACUUGUAUGACAGUCGUUUUAAUUUUUAUAAUAUUGACAACAAUGUAUGAUCAAAAUAAAAAGACAUGAUUAGGUAAACAUGUUAAAAAAAAUAUGGGUGCAGCGGUCAACAUUGUGUCACAUUAAUUACUUUAAAACAAAGAAAUCUGUAAACAAAGAAAAAACAAAACGGCAUAAACACGAAGCUCACAAACAAAAACAAAAGACAAGAAUAUAUACAAAAAUUUACUAUUAUAAUAGCAUAAUUACACAUUAACGUCAAAUGGAUGGGCACAGGACGUUUGCGCUUUUUUACCUGUAAAACGAUAGGACAUUUGCGCUUCAAAUACUAUGGACAUUUGCGCUUUAAAUUUUGAUUCACCUGUAUUAAAUUGACCGGACAUUUGCGCUUUAAAUUUUGAUUCACCUGUAUUAAAUUGACCGGACAUUUGCGCUUUUUACCUACAGUCGUCUACCUGUAAUUUUAAUGAGAAGUUAUCAUUAUUUUAAUAAAUUUAACUUAUAUUUGUCAUUAGUACGAGAAAUGGUCUAGAAUUCUUCCCUUCCCACUAAAGUGAACAGUUUCGAAUCCUCCUGCUGUUUUUCUCUUUUUGAAGAGCAACAGUAUGUGAAUUACAUUAAGAUUCGUAAUAUUGAUGAAUAGGCACCCCUGUCAACUUUAAACUUAAAAAAAUAUUACUUAAACUCUGCCAGGUCACACAUGCCAGUCCAAAGCCCGGAUUAAAGAAAAAAUAAAUCAAAUAUUGCAAAAGCGCAAAUGUCCUUUUUUAAAAAGCGCAAAUGUCCUAUGAUUUGAAGCGCAAGUGUCCAUUAAAAUAAGCGCAAAUGUCCAAUGAAAAAGCGCAAACGUCCCACGCCGAAAUGGAUAUUAUUAAAAAUAGAAUAAACAGUAAACUUACACAGACAAAUAAAAGAACACGUAAUAAAUAUGAUAAACAACGAC
rnacentral:lncRNA from 1 species